UUAAGCAUAUCAAUAAGCGGAGGAAAAGAAACCAACAGGGAUUGCCCUAGUAACGGCGAGUGAAGCGGCAACAGCUCAAAUUUGAAAUCUGGCCUUCGGGUCCGAGUUGUAAUUUGUAGAGGAUGCUUUUGGUGAGGUGCCUUCCGAGUUCCCUGGAACGGGACGCCAUAGAGGGUGAGAGCCCCGUCUGGUUGGACACCGAUCCUCUGUAAAGCUCCUUCAACGAGUCGAGUAGUUUGGGAAUGCUGCUCUAAAUGGGAGGUAUAUGUCUUCUAAAGCUAAAUAUUGGCCAGAGACCGAUAGCGCACAAGUAGAGUGAUCGAAAGAUGAAAAGCACUUUGAAAAGAGAGUUAAAAAGUACGUGAAAUUGUUGAAAGGGAAGCGCUCAUGACCAGACUUGGGCUUGGUUGAUCAUCCAGGGUUCUCCCUGGUGCACUCUUCCAGUUCAGGCCAGCAUCAGUUCGCUGCGGGGGAUAAAGGCUUUGGGAAUGUGGCUCCUUCGGGAGUGUUAUAGCCCAUUGUGUAAUACCCUGUGGUGGACUGAGGACCGCGCUUUUGCAAGGAUGCUGGCGUAAUGGUCAUCAGUGACCCGUCUUGAAACACGGACCAAGGAGUCGUCUUCGUAUGCGAGUGUUCGGGUGUUAAACCCCUACGCGUAAUGAAAGUGAACGCAGGUGAGAGCUUCGGCGCAUCAUCGACCGAUCCUGAUGUUCUCGGAUGGAUUUGAGUAAGAGCAUACGGGGCCGGACCCGAAAGAAGGUGAACUAUGCCUGUAUAGGGUGAAGCCAGAGGAAACUCUGGUGGAGGCUCGCAGCGGUUCUGACGUGCAAAUCGAUCGUCAAAUAUGGGCAUGGGGGCGAAAGACUAAUCGAACCUUCUAGUAGCUGGUUUCC
rnacentral:rRNA from 1 species